rnacentral:rRNA from 1 species
AUUGAACGCUGGCGGCAUGCUUUACACAUGCAAGUCGAACGGCAGCGCGGGCUUCGGCCUGGCGGCGAGUGGCGAACGGGUGAGUAAUGCAUCGGAACGUGCCCAGUAGUGGGGGAUAGCCCGGCGAAAGCCGGAUUAAUACCGCAUACGACCUGAGGGUGAAAGCGGGGGACCGAAAGGCCUCGCGCUAUUGGAGCGGCCGAUGUCGGAUUAGCUAGUUGGUGGGGUAAAGGCUUACCAAGGCGACGAUCCGUAGCUGGUCUGAGAGGACGACCAGCCACACUGGGACUGAGACACGGCCCAGACUCCUACGGGAGGCAGCAGUGGGGAAUUUUGGACAAUGGGGGCAACCCUGAUCCAGCCAUGCCGCGUGCGGGAAGAAGGCCUUCGGGUUGUAAACCGCUUUUGUUCGGGAAGAAUCCUCUGGGCUAAUACCCCGGGGGGAUGACGGUACCGGAAGAAUAAGCACCGGCUAACUACGUG